rnacentral:lncRNA from 1 species
UGAGACAGUAAAGGGAGCUAUGUUGUGGUAAAAUUUCUACAUUUAACUUGAAGUGGUAGAAAAAAACUCUGAUUGUGAAAAGUAUGUAUUUUGUAAUCCCCAUAGUAAGGGUUAGUAAACCAUAUUCCACAGGCCAAAUCCAGCCCACUGCCUGUUUUUGUAAAUACAGUUUUGUUGGACUGUAGUUACACCUCAUUCAUUGCAUAUCAUGUAUGGUUGCUUUUGCACUACAGCAUCAGAUUUGGGUGUUGCAACACACAUUGUAUGGCUGACAAAGCUCAUCAUAUUUAUUGUAUCUGGCCCUUUACAGAAAAAGUUUGCCGGCCCAGUGUAGUGACUCUUGCCUAUAAUCCCAGCACUUUGGGAGGCCGA